UGAAGUCCCUUAGGCUAUGCAAAAAAAUUACAGAUCUGUGAAAAUAUGAAUAAACUCCCCAAAAUACUUAUACAUAUAAACAUAAUGACCCUUAAUGAAAAAAAAAACCAAGAUCUAAAACUGUAGACUCCUAAAUCUAUUAAAAGUAGAUCAUAUGCCCUCAAAGCCUUUUUGUUUCCUUCCGUCCAAAUUACCCAUAAGGUCGCCACGAAGAUAAUGUCUAAAGUAUUGUUGUAACGCUUAUUCCCAUGGAUGCCUCUCCAAACCCAAAGUCCACUUUCAAUAACUAGCCAUAGCCUAGCUCACCCAACUAGACCACAGGCCAUAGAACAAAGCCGG
rnacentral:lncRNA from 1 species